GCUACGGGAGGCAGCAGUAGGGAAUAUUGCUCAAUGGGGGAAACCCUGAAGCAGCAACGCCGCGUGGAGGAUGAAGGUUUUCGGAUUGUAAACUCCUUUUGUUAGAGAAGAGAAUGACGGUAUCUAACGAAUAAGCACCGGCUAACGCCGUGCCAGCAGCCGCGGUAAUACGGAGGGUGCAAGCGUUACUCGGAACCACUGGGCGUAAAGAGCGCGUAGGCGGGAUAGCAAGUCAGAUGUGAAAUCCUAGGGCUUACCCAUAGAACUGCAUUUGAAACUGUUAUUCUAGAGUAUGGGAGAGGUAGGUGGCAUUCUUGGUGUAGUGGUCACAUCCGUAGAGAUCAAGAGGAAUACUCAUUGCGAAGGCGACCUGCUAGAACAUACCUGACGCUGAUGCGCGAAAGCGUGGGGAGCAAACAGGAUUAGCUACCCGUGUAGUC
rnacentral:rRNA from 1 species